AGAGUUUGAUCCUGGCUCAGGAUGAACGCUAGCUACAGGCUUAACACAUGCAAGUCGAGGGGCAGCAUUUUAGUUUGCUUGCAAACUGAAGAUGGCGACCGGCGCACGGGUGAGUAACACGUAUCCAACCUGCCGAUAACUCCGGGAUAGCCUUUCGAAAGAAAGAUUAAUACCGGAUGGCAUACGAAUAUCGCAUGAUAUUUUUAUUAAAGAAUUUCGGUUAUCGAUGGGGAUGCGUUCCAUUAGUUUGUUGGCGGGGUAACGGCCCACCAAGACUACGAUGGAUAGGGGUUCUGAGAGGAAGGUCCCCCACAUUGGAACUGAGACACGGUCCAAACUCCUACGGGAGGCAGCAGUGAGGAAUAUUGGUCAAUGGGCGAGAGCCUGAACCAGCCAAGUAGCGUGAAGGAUGAAGGCUCUAUGGGUCGUAAACUUCUUUUAUAUGGGAAUAAAGUAUUCCACGUGUGGAAUUUUGUAUGUACCAUAUGAAUAAGGAUCGGCUAACUCCGUGCCAGCAGCCGCGGUAAUACGGAGGAUCCGAGCGUUAUCCGGAUUUAUUGGGUUUAAAGGGAGCGUAGGUGGAUUGUUAAGUCAGUUGUGAAAGUUUGCGGCUCAACCGUAAAAUUGCAGUUGAAACUGGCAGUCUUGAGUACAGUAGAGGUGGGCGGAAUUCGUGGUGUAGCGGUGAAAUGCUUAGAUAUCACGAAGAACUCCGAUUGCGAAGGCAGCUCACUAGACUGUUACUGACACUGAUGCUCGAAAGUGUGGGUAUCAAACAGGAUUAGAUACCCUGGUAGUCCACACAGUAAACGAUGAAUACUCGCUGUUUGCGAUAUACAGUAAGCGGCCAAGCGAAAGCAUUAAGUAUUCCACCU
rnacentral:rRNA from 1 species